AGGAGAACCAUGCCCUGAGGGAGGGGAGCCAUGCACGAGCAGCUUCGGGUGACAGCGGCUCGCUUCAAGAGCAGGUGAAGCUAUUUGGGACAACGCUGAAGAUGUUUGCUCGCACUGGGCAAUCAGGUGCAGAUCAGACCCUAGUGCUGCGACGUCUUGGAGAGUUUGGCGAUGUUGUGCGUAGCAUGGAAAACAAAAUGGACAUUAUGCUGCAACAUUUCAGUGCCAAUGUGUCUGUUGGAGAGCUAUCCCUGCCAGGGGAUGUUACUCCCCCUAGACACCCAGGAAGAUUUGGUGUUUCUUGACAGCAUUUUGAGGGAGGAUAAAGAGCUCCAGGAACGAUUUGUAAGUGUGUUGCUUUCGUUUAUAAGGCCGUAGGGUAAUCUAAAAAGUCAAAUUAAGUUUGUACACUGUAUAUUCUACAGUCUAAAUCCACAGCCUGUCACAUUUUAUAUUUA